CAGAAAACAUUAAUCGCAGACGAGGGAGCACGAGGCGGCAGAGUGAAGCGUUGAUAAGUUCCCAGACAACAUUGUUUAUCCCCCAUCUGACCCUGCAGCCCCUGGAAAAGUGCAUUCAUGUGUGUAUGUCUUCUGUCAUCUUUGCGCAUAUCACACCCCUGGACCACCAAUGGUACCUGUACAUCCCAAAACAUGUGUACAUCAGCCUUCUGCAGAUGUGGCUUUGUGCAAAAGGGGGGCUUAACUACCAAUGACACAGAGCGUUUAAGAGGAGGAGGAGGAGGAGGAGUUAUUGAGUGUUGUGGUGGUUGCUAGACGACUGCAGUGUAAAUAAAUUGCAAGAGAAAGAAAAAAGAAACCAAAAAAAAAAAGCCAUGUAAACUGUGGUCCGCAGCGUGAGGCCUUUUCUGAGAUCUCUGGGGAGUAUUGUGAAAAGGGGGAUGACUGGUAAGGGAUAACGUGAGCUGUGCCUAUCCCUGUUACACACCCCAGCUGGACUGGGAUUUGGGCUUCAGACACCAGCUGGAAGGAAGAAACUCCCCUACCACCCUGUCACACUCUAGCAAGAAAAAAAGCCUUCAAGUCCUGUGUGACGAUUAAGCAUGAGAGCAAAUACUGUACACGUACUGUAAGUACUAAAAUAAAACUGAUUAUGCAAUGAAAUGAAA